CUUCUCGCGUGGUGGCUUCUCUCGUUGCAGAGCGUGGGCUCUAGAGCACAGGCUCAGUAAUCGUGAUGCACGGGCUUAGCUGCCCUGUGGCAUGUGGAACCUUCCCGACCAGGGAUCAAACCCCUGUCACCUGCAUUGGCAGGCAGAUUCUUAACCACUGAACUACUAGAGAAGUCCAAGAAGCAUUUCUUAAUCACUCUUUAAUUUUGCUCUUCCUCACGGCCUUCACUCCAGGCCAAGCCACAUCCACGGACGCAUUCUCUUCACUCUCUGAAAUCACUUCAAUUACUCAUUGGUUCCCUUAGCCUCUGUCUUCCUGCUCCAGACAUCAGUAUCCUGAGAGCAGGCCUCCACCAUGAUGCUCAUCCAACACACUCAGCCACCUGGAAAGCACCUGGUACCCAGUAAGUGAACCACAAGUAUUAAUCUGGAGCCUCCCUGGGGGGAAAACUCCAGAUUCUUCACUGUUCCUCACUCCCGCCUGCUAUCAGAGGCCUGUUCUGAAAUCUGAUCCUGGGUUGCUACUAAGCACUGUGCAUUGUCCCCCAGGGAAAGGGAGAGAAGCUGAAACCGACUCACUUGAUUAUGGAGGCUAAGAAGAGGAGACCCAAGAAAGCCAGUGAUGUAACUCCAGUCCAAGUCUGAAGACCGGAGAACCAGGAGUGCCUAUGGUAUAAGUCCUGAUCCAAGGACAGGAGGGGGCUUCCUUGGUGGUUCAGACGUAAAGAAUCUGCCUGCUAUGUGAGAGACCCAGGUUUGAUGCCUGAGUUGAGAAGAUCCCCUGGAGUAGGAA
ensembl:lncRNA